UUACAACGGCAGUUUUUCAAAUUAUCAGUCAUUGCUUGGGCACUAAAGCUAUAGCAGAUAUCAAGCCAGCCUUUAGCUUUCAUGUAAGCGCAGAAUAGAUCAACCAUAUCCAGAAUCAAUCCCUUCAAACAACAUUGUGGAAAAGAUUAACUUGAAAAGCAACAAGGACAGCAUUAUUACCUUGCAGCAGAAGCAAGUUUAAAACCAUAAUAUUGCAGCUUUAUUUUCCUGCAGCCUUCAGUCACAACAACUGCCCACAUAGUGACUAUGGUAAAAAUACCCAACACUGCAAACAUAUAUGGCCACCAACUAACAGCACUUCCUGAGAGCUGACACAGCAUCUUGUAUAGUGUAUCAGUGUAACCAGUCAGAAUUCCCACACAUAUAAUUAAUGACGAACCUUGACCUGAGACAACCAUGGACAGUCAAGAAAGUGGACAAUGCACGAGUAGACAACAGAAAGGAAGUGUAUAUUCCUUUUGGUAUAUCUAAAAUAACCAGUCAUCAUUGAUGUGUUUAAAAUUUUGAGGUUCUUGUUUUCUUAAGAGAGAAGUAAAGAAGGAAGACAACUGAAAAAAAAAAAAAUCAUAAGACCAGCCAAGAAUGGUAAACAAGCACAAAAGAAAACAAAUCACAAAAUCCAAACACAAUCCCCAAAAUAGUACCAAAUCCAGAUUCUGAUAUUGUAUCACAAAUCCAUGUCGUAGUCAUUGCACCGCAUACCAAUAAAAAAGCUGUCACCAUUACAUGCUUGACCCUGCAAAAGUAGUAAAAAUUUUAUAGGUGCAAACAAAAAUUUGUAAGCAAAGCAUUACCUGGAUAGUGUUGUCAGCAGAUCAUUCCCGCUUUUUUAAUCUUUUUUUUGUUAUAAACAUUACCCAAUUAUUGACAUCGUUAAAAAAAGGCCAGAGAAUGCAUAUGUGGAUCAUAACUCGCAUAAAACCAAUGCCAACACAAGUGACAUAACACAAUCUAGACAAGCUUCAGGCACAAAGCAACAAUUCCAAACCAAAAAUGAUAUUUGGCACAAUGCUUAUGGACAAUAUUGUGAAUUUUCACUUGAUCUGUUCACAGAAACUAGAAAUUAUAUUUCCAUUCAUUUUUGGGGACAUUGAUGGUCAAAAUAAAACAAAAGAUUAUUCUUCUCACUACAUUACCUGCGACUAGCUGCAUAAAUAGAAUAUGGAAGUGAAUAACAAGAAACCACCAAAGCUUCUAAUAUUGCAAAGCCAAGUGACAUCCACCAUCUGAAAUGGAAAGAAAAACAUAUUUGAUCUGUAACCUCCAACGUAAUUAGUUGAUUGAAAUAAUUUUCAAUGCAAGAUUCAGUAGUAAGGACUCGUCUCACUGCUUGAGAUGAAUAACUAGACACACAUAUAACUCUUAAUCUUCUCAUGGCCAUCUAAGCCUUCUUUUCGUAGCUUUACCAGGGAUGGAACCACAUGACACAGUACCUGCAUAAGUAUAGAUGCUAAUAUCUGAGGGCUGAUUCCAAGCUGGAAAAAUGACAGUUUAAGCUCUGCGGUGAAGUCACCAAGUUCAUCAACAGAUCCCGAGAUAAAGCUAAGAUAAUCUUGGGGCAUCAACCUUCUGUCAAAACCAGGCAGAGGGAUAUAAUAUCCAACACGACUGAUUACGAGUAGUACAGCUGUCACAAAUAACCUCCGCCUUAUCUCACUCUUAAAAAAUGAUUCAGCAGCAUUAUUCAGUACAGAACUUAUGCGUACAAAAUUCAGAAACCUGUUCUGAAACAUUUUAGGCUUGGACUGCAAAGUAUUAAAGUUAUUGGCAUCAUGAAAACUGAGAAGACCAGCCCCAUCACCAGCUCUUAGUGGUACAGCUUCUUGUUCAGACAUUGGCUCAACAUUCACAUAGUCACUCUGGAGCUGAUCUGAUGAAUUGAUGGUGAAUUUCUUGAUUUUUCUUGAUGGGAAAGGCCUUUUGUGCAACCAAAAA
rnacentral:misc_RNA from 1 species